rnacentral:rRNA from 1 species
UACUCGAGUGGCGAAAGGGCGAGGAAUACAUGGGCAACGUGCCUUAUGCACGAGGAUAACUGCGGGAAGCUGCAGUUAAUACUCGAUAAGACCACAGCAUCUUCGGAUGCAGCGGUCAAAGGUGGGGACCUUCGGGCCUACCGGCAUUAGAGCGACCCAUGUCCUAUCAGCUUGUUGGUGAGGUAACGGCUCACCAAGGCGACGACGGGUACCGGGACUGAGAGGUUGACCCGGCGCAUCGGGACUGAGACACUGCCCGGACUCCUACGGGAGGCUGCAGUAACGAAUAUUCCGCAAUGGGCGAAAGCCCUGACGGAGCGACGCCGCGUGUGGGAGGAAGCCCUUCGGGGUGUAAACCACUGUCAGGGAUUACCAAGCAAAGUUGGCGAAUAGCCUUCUGCGUUGAGGCGUCCCAGAGGAAGCCACGGGUAACUUCGUGCCAGCAGCCGCGGUAAUACGAAGGUGGCGAGCGUUGUCCGGAAUCACUGGGCUUAAAGGGCACGCAGGCGGACUGUCAAGCGUCUUGUGAAAGCCCCCGGCUUAACCGGGGAAUUGCUGGGCGAACUGGCAGUCUUGAGGCAGGUAAGGGCGAGUGGAACUCUUGGUGGAGCGGUGGAAUGCG